rnacentral:rRNA from 1 species
GACGAACGCUGGCGGCGUGCUUAACACAUGCAAGUCGAACGGAAAGGCCCUGCUUUUGUGGGGUGCUCGAGUGGCGAACGGGUGAGUAACACGUGAGUAACCUGCCCUUGACUUUGGGAAAACUUCAGGAAACUGGGGCUAAUACCGGAUAGGAGCUCCUGCUGCAUGGUGGGGGUUGGAAAGUUUCGACGGUUGGGGAUGGACUCGCGGCUUAUCAGCUUGUUGGUGGGGUAGUGGCUUACCAAGGCUUUGACGGGUAGCCGGCCUGAGAGGGUGACCGGCCACAUUGGGACUGAGAUACGGCCCAGACUCCUACGGGAGGCAGCAGUGGGGAAUAUUGCACAAUGGGCGGAAGCCUGAUGCAGCAACGCCGCGUGCGGGAUGACGGCCUUCGGGUUGUAAACCGCUUUCGCCUGUGACGAAGCGUGAGUGACGGUAAUGGGUAAAGAAGCACCGGCUAACUACGUG